rnacentral:rRNA from 1 species
CUAGACGAGUUUGAUCAUGGCUCAGGAUGAACGCUGGCGGCGUGCCUAAUACAUGCAAGUCGAACGAGGUGCUUGAGUAGCAAUACAAGAGUAUCCUAGUGGCGAACGGGUGAGUAACGCGUGGAUGACCUGCCCCAAAGUGUGGGGAUAACAGUCCCGAAAGGAUUGCUAAUACCUCAUGUGGUUAUCGGAUUUAGAAACUGAUACUAAAGCAGCAAUGCGCUUUGGGAGGGAUCUGCGUCCCCAUCAGCUAGUUGGUGAGGUAACGGGCUCUACCCAAGGCGACGACGGGUAGGGGACCUGAGAGGGUGGCCCCCCACAAUGGAACUGAAACACGGUCCAUACACCUACGGGUGGCAGCAGUAGGGAAUAUUGCUCAAUGGGCGAAAGCCCUGAAGCAGCAACGCCGCGUGUGCGAUGAAGGCCUUCGGGGUCGUAAACGCACUUUCUACGAGAUGAGAAAGGACAGUAUCGUAGGAAUAAGUCUCGGCUAACUACGUG